GACGAACGCUGGCGGCGUGCUUAACACAUGCAAGUCGAACGGAAAGGCCCUGCUCUUGUGGGGUGCUCGAGUGGCGAACGGGUGAGUAACACGUGAGUAACCUGCCCUUGACUUUGGGAUAACUUCAGGAAACUGGGGCUAAUACCGGAUAGGAGCUCCUGCUGCAUGGUGGGGGUUGGAAAGUUUCGGCGGUUGGGGAUGGACUCGCGGCUUAUCAGCUUGUUGGUGGGGUAGUGGCUUACCAAGGCUUUGACGGGUAGCCGGCCUGAGAGGGUGACCGGCCACAUUGGGACUGAGAUACGGCCCAGACUCCUACGGGAGGCAGCAGUGGGGAAUAUUGCACAAUGGGCGGAAGCCUGGUGCAGCAACGCCGCGUGCGGGAUGACGGCCUUCGGGUUGUAAACCGCUUUCGCCUGUGACGAAGCGUGAGUGACGGUAAUGGGUAAAGAAGCACCGGCUAACUACGUG
rnacentral:rRNA from 1 species